rnacentral:misc_RNA from 1 species
AUAAAGAGCUAAACUGGUGAUCGAUCGAUGGAUUGGUUGCACUUGAACUCUCUAAAGCUAUAAAAUUUUGGAAGAAACCUGUACACCUUCACAGGUACAAACACUUGUAAUCGGUAACCCUGCAUGCUCUCUGCCAUUGGAUGCAAUGCAGCUCUAAGAACCUGGUUCUACUUAUCCUAAUUGAUGAUGAUACAUUACUCUUAAAUUAGUGUGCCCGUUAUAACACCA